UCGUGGGGCUUCGGCCCUAUCGAGAUAGAACCCUUGCCUUUUUCGAGUACCGUCCGUUUCCUCGGCAGGCCCGCCUGCCAAUGGGGACCCCAAACAAACCCUUUAUGUACAGCAAUCGUCUGAGAAACAAACAAAAAUCA
rnacentral:misc_RNA from 1 species